rnacentral:rRNA from 1 species
CAUGUGUGUUAGUGGAAGCGUCUGGAAAGGCGCGCGAUACAGGGUGACAGCCCCGUACACAAAAGCGCAUGUGCUGUGAGCUCGAUGAGUAGGGCGGGACACGUGGUAUCCUGUCUGAAUAUGGGGGGACCAUCCUCCAAGGCUAAAUACUCCUGACUGACCGAUAGUGAACCAGUACCGUGAGGGAAAGGCGAAAAGAACCCCGGCGAGGGGAGUGAAAAAGAACCUGAAACCGUGUACGUACAAGCAGUGGGAGCACCCUUUGGGUGUGACUGCGUACCUUUUGUAUAAUGGGUCAGCGACUUAUAUUCUGUAGCAAGGUUAACCGAAUAGGGGAGCCGGAGGGAAACCGAGUCUUAACCGGGCGUUAAGUUGCAGGGUAUAGACCCGAAACCCGGUGAUCUAGCCAUGGGCAGGUUGAAGGUUGGGUAACACUAACUGGAGGACCGAACCGACUAAUGUUGAAAAAUUAGCGGAUGACCUGUGGCUGGGGGUGAAAGGCCAAUCAAACCGGGAGAUAGCUGGUUCUCCCCGAAAGCUAUUUAGGUAGCGCCUCGUGAAUUCAUCUCCGGGGGUAGAGCACUGUUUCGGCUAGGGGGCCAUCCCGGCUUACCAACCCGAUGCAAACUGCGAAUACCGGAGAAUGUUAUCACGGGAGACACACGGCGGGUGCUAACGUCCGUCGUGAAGAGGGAAACAACCCAGACCGCCAGCUAAGGUCCCAAAGUCAUGGUUAAGUGGGAAACGAUGUGGGAAGGCCCAGACAGCCAGGAUGUUGGCUUAGAAGCAGCCAUCAUUUAAAGAAAGCGUAAUAGCUCACUGGUCGAGUCGGCCUGCGCGGAAGAUGUAACGGGGCUAAACCAUG